rnacentral:lncRNA from 1 species
AUGGCAGUCUGGUGGAGAAGUAGUCAUGGUGGGGCAGCCAUCAUGUCCUUGGCAUCAAAGACCCUCUGGUGUCAGGCUGAAGGUGCCCCAGAGGCUGGAGCAACAAGGUCCGAAUGCGAUGGUAGGAAGGUUCUGAGAGGGGCCAUACUGCGAUGUUGCAACAAGAAAUGCCAGCCCAGAACCAGACUCACGCCACCAUCUCCUCUCUAGCAGCGCGUCACAGACCGAUGUGAGCAGCUUCUCCCUGGGGCCAGAUUCAAGAAAACGCUUGGAAUUUCAUUAGAGCUGAGGAACCCACAGAACAUUCUUGUAGCAGAGCUUCACGUAAUAAAAGAGGGAAGGGUGAAGUGCAGUCUUCUGACUGUGCAAUGGGUGUAAGGAAGACAGCAAAAAACGUCAGAAGGCGAGGGCAGCCGUCAACAAGGCAAAGCAACAGGCCCUGUCUCCUGACUCCGAAGGAGGAAAAUCGUGACAGAGAUGCAGAAAAGCUGGUGUCUGAUUAAAAAUUCCACAGAGUUGCCGCAUUUGUAAAAUAGGAACGCAGUCUUCUCUUUUACACAUAUUUUGGGAAUUUGAUUGCCCAGACAAAAUUAGAGAACCGAAGUCAUCAAUACAAGCUUGAAGGAGCGGAGAUGCAGCGAAGGCAGACAGAACACACAGGCAGAAAUGGCAGCCUUGGUUUAAAGGAAACAAAAUGAGCUAAGAAAAUGCCUGUUAGUUGCCCAAAGAUGCUUCCUGAAUGAUGUGCUUCCUGUGCCAGGGAAGGACGGGAAGUGAGGUCCCCAUUCGUUCACUGAAUAAACUCUUAUGAAGAGUCAGAAGGCUUGGAGGUUUGGGAGGAGCAGAAAACAUCAAACCCUGGGCUAAGGCCACUUGAGCUGACACUACAGGGAAAAUCAGGAAUUGGAUGGGGAAGCAGAGAGGAGCCAACAUGCUGGCAUGUUGGUGGUGUGGUUAGGGACAGCACAAAAAGUGGCUGGGAAGGGCAGAGGGGUAAGGCUUGACUCCCAGGCCAGGAGUGUGGACUGUAUCCAUUAGACGCUAGGGAUGAUGGGAAAAUCAUCACGGAGCAGAAAAAAUUACAUUUACAGAGUGUUUUUCUUUUUUAAGAGUUUUUUUUUUUUUUUUUUUUUUUUAAUGAGUUUUAAGAUGCCUCUGUCUGUCUGACCAAAAGAGUUUCCCCACUAGGGUUCUUUCCCAGGCUCUCUUUCUUAGAGAGCU